AUUGAACGCUGGCGGCAUGCCUUACACAUGCAAGUCGAACGGCAGCACGGGAGCAAUCCUGGUGGCGAGUGGCGAACGGGUGAGUAAUACAUCGGAACGUGCCCAGUAGUGGGGGAUAACUGCUCGAAAGAGCAGCUAAUACCGCAUACGACCUGAGGGUGAAAGCGGGGGAUCGCAAGACCUCGCGCUAUUGGAGCGGCCGAUGUCAGAUUAGCUAGUUGGUGGGGUAAAGGCCUACCAAGGCAACGAUCUGUAGUUGGUCUGAGAGGACGACCAGCCACACUGGGACUGAGACACGGCCCAGACUCCUACGGGAGGCAGCAGUGGGGAAUUUUGGACAAUGGGGGCAACCCUGAUCCAGCCAUUCCGCGUGAGUGAAGAAGG
rnacentral:rRNA from 1 species